rnacentral:lncRNA from 1 species
AAAGCCCAUUGGGUAUGAUAUUCAAUCAAUAGGGAUGAAGUUCUCUAUUCCUUGCCUUCAUCCAACCAUGCCUUAUUUUCAUCCCUUCCAAUUAGCCUCCUACUAGUUAAAAUCCUAUUAAACUUCAUUCAAACUUUAGGCCAAAACUAAUUAAAUCUUAGAUUUUAAUAAAAUCCUAAAUCCUAAAUCAAAUCCUAAACAAAUCUUAAAUCAAACCACAAUCAAAUCCUAAACCAAAUCCUAACCAAAUCCUAAACCCUAAAUCAAACCCUAAUCGAAUCCUAAUCCAAAUCCUAAAUCCUAAACCAAACCCUAAUCCAAACCUUAAAUCCUAAACCAAACCCUAACUAAAUCCUAAAUCCUAAAUCAAAUCCUAAUCAAAUCCUAAAUCCUGAAUAAAAUUUUAACCAAAUCCUAAACCAAAUCUUAAUCCAAACCCUAAAUCCUAAAUCAAACCCUAAACCCUAAACCCUAAAUCAAACCCUAAUCCAAACCCUAAAUCCUAAACCAAACCUAACCAAAUCCUAAACCAAACCCUAGUAAUUCCUACAAUAGAUUUAAACCUCAAUAACUAAUGAAUAAACCGUUGAUCUUUAUUCAAAUUUUGCAUACUUCUAAAAAAAUAAGUUAAAAAUAAGCACAAAAAAAUUGACAAGGAUCGGAGUUACUAAAUUGAUGAUAACUUC